GACGAACGCUGGCGGCGUGCCUAAUACAUGCAAGUUGAGCGCUGAAGGUUGGUACUUGUGCCCACUGGAUGAGCAGCGAACGGGUGAGUAACGCGUGGGGCAUCUGCCUUUGAUCGGGGGACAACAUUUGGAAACGAAUGCUAAUACCGCAUAAUAACUUUAAACACAAGUUUUAAGUUUGAAAGAUGCAAUUGCACCACUCAAAGAUGAUCCCGCGUUGUAUUAGCUAGUUGGUGAGGUAAAGGCUCACCAAGGCGAUGAUACAUAGCCGACCUGAGAGGGUGAUCGGCCACAGUGGGAAUGAGACACGGCCCAAACUCCUACGGGAGGCAGCAGUAGGGAAUCUUCGGCAAUGGACGAAAGUCUGACCGAGCAACGCCGCGGGAGUGAAGAAGGGUGUCGGAUCGUAAAACUCUGUUGGUAGAGAAGAACGUUGGUGAGAGUGGAAAGCUCAUCAAGUGACGGUAACUACCCAGAAAGGGACGGCUAACUACGUG
rnacentral:rRNA from 1 species